rnacentral:tRNA from 1 species
AGCGACGUGGAGCAGCUGGUAGCUCGCUGGGCUCAUAACCCGGAGGUCCCCGGUUCGAACCCGGGCGUCGCUU